GGGAAUUUUCCGCAAUGGGCGAAAGCCUGACGGAGCAACGCCGCGUGAGGGAUGAAGGCCUCUGGGCUGUAAACCUCUUUUAUCAAGGAAGAAGAUCUGACGGUACUUGAUGAAUAAGCCACGGCUAAUUCCGUGCCAGCAGCCGCGGUAAUACGGGAGUGGCAAGCGUUAUCCGGAAUUAUUGGGCGUAAAGCGUCCGCAGGCGGUCUGUCAAGUCUGCUGUUAAAGCGUGGAGCUUAACUCCAUUUCGGCAGUGGAAACUGACAGACUAGAGUGUGGUAGGGGCAGAGGGAAUUCCCGGUGUAGCGGUGAAAUGCGUAGAUAUCGGGAAGAACACCAGUGGCGAAGGCGCUCUGCUGGGCCAUAACUGACGCUCAUGGACGAAAGCCAGGGGAGCGAAAGGGAUUAGAUACCCCUGUAGUCCUGGCCGUAAACGAUGAACACUAGGUGUCGGGGGAAUCGACCCCCUCGGUGUCGUAGCCAACGCGUUAAGUGUUCCGCCUGGGGAGUACGCACGCAAGUGUGAAACUUAAAGGAAUUGACGG
rnacentral:rRNA from 1 species